AUUGGAGGAAGUUCUUCAGCAGCUAAUACAAGCUGCAAAAUCCAUUGGGGAUAUCGUGCUUGAGGCAAAAUUUGAAGAGGCUGUUACCAAGAUCAAGAGGGAUAUUGUCUUUGCUGCAUCUCUAUAUUUGUAGAUACAAAAUUGAAGCAUUUCUGCCAAUGCUCCAUUUACAAAGGUUAGGUUAGAUGGGUGUGGUUGCCACUAAAUUAUGCCCUUAAUUUGUUGUAUGGUAGCUCAUUAUUUAUAUUUUUAUCUAUAAUCGAGAACAAAUUAACUGUCACUUUACGUCUUCCUUUUGUUUCAAUUUUGUUGUUUUAUAGGGGAAU
rnacentral:misc_RNA from 1 species